GGUUCAUUGGCCGCACAGCAGGGACCUUGCAGUUGAGCUCAGGAUGGCUGUUCAAUGCAUAGGGGAUCAUAUGUAAGGUAAGGUCACACAGUAUGCCUGUAAUCUCAGAAAUGCUAUAUUCUGCCAACAAACUCUGAUACACACCAACACCCAGCAUGGAUGCAAUAUUACGCUAGUCUUCUCUACAAUGGAGAGAAAUCAGUGUGAAUUCAGCAACUGCUAGACUCUUCUUUCAGGUGAAUGUUUGACAGGGAGCAUGCUGAAAAAGAAUGUCCAAGUGAUCUUCUCUGAGAUCCUUCCUGUCUCAGGAAUGAAGGAAGAUAGAACGCAAAAGAUUCUGGAAGUGAACCACUGGCUAGG